rnacentral:rRNA from 1 species
AUUGAACGCUGGCGGCAGGCCUAACACAUGCCAGUCGAGCGGAUGAAGGGAGCUUGCUCCUGGAUUCAGCGGCGGACGGGUGAGUAAUGCCUAGGAAUCUGCCUGGUAGUGGGGGAUAACGUCCGGAAACGGGCGCUAAUACCGCAUACGUCCUGAGGGAGAAAGUGGGGGAUCUUCGGACCUCACGCUAUCAGAUGAGCCUAGGUCGAAUUAGCUAGUUGGUGGGGUAAAGGCCUACCAAGGCGACGAUCCGUAACUGGUCUGAGAGGAUGAUCAGUCACACUGGAACUGAGACACGGUCCAGACUCCUACGGGAGGCAGCAGUGGGGAAUAUUGGACAAUGGGCGAAAGCCUGAUCCAGCCAUGCCGCGUGUGUGAAGAAGGUCUUCGGAUUGUAAAGCACUUUAAGUUGGGAGGAAGGGCAGUAAGUUAAUACCUUGCUGUUUUGACGUUACCAACAGAAUAAGCACCGGCUAACUUCGUG